UACGUAGGGACCAAGCGUUGUCCGGAAUCAUUGGGCGUAAAGAGCGUGUAGGCGGCUUGUUAAGUCUUGCGUGAAAUCUCGGGGCUCAACCCCGAGCGGUCGUGAGAACUGGCAGGCUAGAGUGCGGGAGAGGAGAGUGGAAUUCCUGGUGUAGCGGUGAAAUGCGCAGAUAUCAGGAGGAACACCGGUGGCGAAGGCGGGUCUCUG
rnacentral:rRNA from 1 species